rnacentral:snRNA from 1 species
GGAUGAGGGUGAUCUGGCUGCGAUAUCUGUCACCUCACUGAUCGCCAGGGUUGAUUCAGCUGAUCUGGCAAGCUAGGUGGGUGUCCCUUUCCUCCCUCACCACUCCAUGUGUGUCCCUCCCAAAGCUGCCUGCUCAGUCAAAGAGGAAGGCCUUCCCUGAAUAGAGAAGGACUGAAGGGUCUUUGGUCCAGGGUAUCCAAGUAGCUGCGCUCCCCUGCUAGAACCUCCAAACAAGCUCUCAAGGUCCGUCUACCCUCCAUUGAGAGGUUGAUGGAGUUUCACCUCCUUUGCACUCAGUUCUUGUAAGGAAACUUCCAACUGUAUUUGGUCUACUUAAAGUGUUGUCUCUU